rnacentral:rRNA from 1 species
CCUACGGGUGGCAGCAGUGGGGGAUAUUGGACAAUGGGGGGAACCCUGAUCCAGCGACGCCGCGUGAGUGAAGACGUAUCUCGGUAUGUAAAGCUCUAUCAGCAGGGAAGAAGAAAUGACGGUACCUGAGUAAGAAGCACCGGCUAACUACGUGCCAGCAGCCGCGGUAAUCAGUAGGGGGCAAGCUUUAUCCGGAAUUACUGGGUGUAAAGGGAGCGUAGACCGUGAUGUAAGUGUGGAGUGAAAGGUGGGGGGCCAAACCCCGUACUGCUCUGGAAACUAGGUGGCUGGAGUGCAGGAGAGGUGAGCGGAAUUCUGAGUGUAGCGGUGAAAUGCGUAGAUAUUAGGAGGAACACCAGUGGCGAAGGCGGCUCACUGGACUGUAACUGACGUUGAGGCUCGAAAGCGUGGGGAGCAAACAGGAUUAGAUACCCUUGUAGUC